GAAAAAAAAACACCAACGCCCCCCCCCCCAAAAAACCAAAAGGCAAAGGAAUGAUGGAGGUUUUGAGGUUUAUGUAGUGGUUCUGUGCUGUCCGGAGCGAGAAGGCAUACAUCUACAUGUGUGUGUGACAUGUGUUCAGAAGUCAGAGGCACUGGGUCCUCCGGAGCUGGAAUUCCUGGCUGUUCUGAGACACCUGACAUGGAUGCUGGGAACCUAACUUGGGUCCUCUGGUAGAGCCGUCUCUCCAGCCACAACAUUGAAAGGUUGUCUUAAAGCAGUUCUCCAACUCAGACAAAUCAGAAGCAUCAGUAAAACCCAAGAUGCUUCAUCUACAUGUGUGUCUGUGCAUCCUUUAUGUGCCUCGUGCCCCCUGAGGUCAGAAGAGGACAUAUCAGAACCAAACUUUAGAAGUAUCAAGUAGAAGCUGGACAGAUGGCUCAGCAGCCAUGCAUUGAGUUCCCUUUGAAUAUGUGUAACAACAUUUGGAGUCAUCUAAAACCUAC
ensembl:processed_transcript BC065397 cDNA sequence BC065397